CUCCAUGGGGCAUGCAAACUUCACUAUGAAAAAGAAAUUUUACAAGAGGAGACCUCACCCUCAACCCUUGUACACCCAAUUCUCUCUCACUAGAAGUUCUCCUCACAAAAGCUCUCUCUCUCUUGGAAGACCCCCCUAAACCCCUGAAGUGCCUGGCGACCGCUGUCCAGGAGCCUCCUGCUCCUUCUCUCUAAGUGCUUCUGCCUCUCUCUCUUCAAUCGGGUUCGUACGGGGUUUGUACGGUGCAAGAAUCCGAACCACCCCUCUCUCUAUUGCCGAUCAGGCCCUUUUAAAGGGUUAAAAACUUGAUUAGAGAUG
rnacentral:lncRNA from 1 species